rnacentral:lncRNA from 1 species
GGUCUAAUUUAAUUAGGAUUUAAUAUAAAUUUUAGGGAUUAAUUUGAUAUGCUAGCACAUUAUAUUAAUCCAGAUUCUCAAUAGGUUAGUUCAAAUGAAUUUGAGCUAGUCUUAACCUAUUGCCUUUGAUCUAAUUAGAUUAGAUCCAAUUUAUUUGAUUUAUUUUCUUAUUUUGGAAGUUUUUCAGAUGGAAAAGGAGUCCUCCAUGCCAUCAGGUCCAUGCCAUUUAUUUAUUAUGGCCCCAUAUUUAUUGGCAC